rnacentral:lncRNA from 1 species
CAUAAUUUGCCAUCUGAAAAUGAACUGACGGCAUGACUUUUGCUGUUAGAUUACCAUUUGGCACCAUAUCUUGAUUUGACAGUUGACAGACUUUGGCAACACCGAUGCAGCGUCAAUUCCUUGCCCAUAAUUUCCUAAUCCAAUCCAGGUUUAGGUGAUUCAAAUUCUGCUGGAAAGCUAACUCAGAUGUAAUGGGCUCACUUGAAAAUUCUUCCAGCUUCUCUGGGAUUCUACAUCAAAGGUGGUUAAUAGAAGCUUAUUUUGUCUCCAGGUGUGCUUAUGACCUGCAUC